rnacentral:rRNA from 1 species
AGUAACGCGUGGUCAACCUACCGUUGAAUGGGGGAUAACUAGCCGAAAGGUUAGCUAAUACCGCAUACGAUCUUUCGAAGGCAUCUUUGAAAGAUGAAAGGAGCAAUUCGUUCAACGACGGGACCGCGUCCCAUUAGCUAGAUGGUGGGGUAAUGGCCUACCAUGGCAACGAUGGGUAGCUGGUUUGAGAGAGCGACCAGCCACACUGGGACUGAGAGACGGCCCAG